UUUCAUGUAAUCAUGGCCUUUCAGUUAUUCAAUUUUUUUCCUGAUCAGUAGUUUCUAGGGAUUAAACUUUUAACUUAUUUUUCGAUAAAGUAUUAAACUUUUAACUCCUCUGUACAAAUGUUCUUCAUCUGGAAACUGUGAAAUCUGUUACAGGUUAGAUGGGUAGAAUCCUUUGAUUGUUAUUGUGAUGUCGAAAGUAUUUGACAAUUUUUACGUGAACAUACUAAACCUGUUGCGCUUAUUCCCCUUUUUAAUUUGAUUAUGAUGGAUUUUUCUUGGUUUUCCAUUAUUUUUUCUAGCUCAAUUUUAUGUGUAAAUACAUACGCUGUCUUUUUAUGAUCUAAAGUGAAGAUUCCCGUGAGACUUUCAAGAAAAAGCUUCCCAAGAACAAAUCUGUUGCUGCUGUGAGUGUCUCCUUCUCACCUUCAAAGUUAUUUUGUACCUUAGGUUCAUCUUCAAAGGCAUACUAACUUUAAAUUUGUAUGGAUAAACAAGUUUGAAAAGCUUCUGGAGACAAGUAGAAAUUCCUACAGAUGUUAACCUCAUGUUGCUAAGGCUAAAAAGCGCAAGGGUUGACUACGAGAAGAACCUGAAACCUUGCAACAAAAAAUUGAGGAAGAUGAGAAAUUCGACAAGUCAGUGCCAGAAGUUAAUGGUGGAGAUUACAAUGAGGAAGGAAGAGAGGGUUUGACAUGCUCCUCCUUAAUGCAAAGGUUUGUCUCCUAUAUUCCCUCUCAAUGAUAUCUUUUGGCGUCGAGUCUAAGGUGAUCGUAGCCACCAGCAUUAAUCCAAAAUUCGUCGGAGGUCGUCUCUUACUGAAUACAACCUCUGGCACUCAUUUCUAUUUCGACAAAGACAAACGCAAGUGAGACCUUCAUCCGAUUUGGGUGUUGGUGACGUGAUCUGCUCCACAAGUUCCACCAAAUAUGAAGGUGUGAAGAAAAUUGAAGUUGUGACGGUCUUUGAGCUUAACGCAUACGUGGUUAACUCGACCCCACAUGUUACCGAAUUUUGUGCACCGGAAAAAGGUAAGCAGACCAUUAACUAGAUUUUGUGUACAUCGCACAAACCAUUUAAGCCAACCAACAUAUCCUGCUAAGACAUUUGCAACAUUUAAUUUUUGAAGAUAUCGUGUGGAGCUGUGCAUUUUAGAUGGUACAGAGUCUGCAGUGUUUGUUGUUUUCUAUGCCGAAAUUUCAUGGUUGACUAAUGUGUGUGCGGCGGAAAUCAGUGAACUUAUGGGUGUUGGUGUGGGAGACUGUAGGGGCCGAGGUUCCACAAUUUCUGCAAAAUAUUGUUGG